GAUGAACGCUGGCGGUAUGCUUAACACAUGCAAGUCGAACGGACUCUUCGGAGUUAGUGGCGGACGGGUGAGUAACGCGUGAGAAUCUGGCUUUGGGUUCGGGACAACCACUGGAAACGGUGGCUAAUACCGGAUGUGCCGAGAGGUAAAAGAGAAAUUGCCUGAAGAUGAGCUCGCGUCUGAUUAGCUAGUUGGUGAGGUAAGGGCUCACCAAGGCAGCGAUCAGUAGCUGGUCUGAGAGGAUGACCAGCCACACUGGGACUGAGACACGGCCCAGACUCCUACGGGAGGCGGCAGUGGGGAAUUUUCCGCAAUGGGCGAAAGCCUGACGGAGCAAUACCGCGUGAGGGAAGAAGGCUCUUGGGUUGUAAACCUCUUUUCUUAGGGAAGAACAAAAUGACGGUACCUAAGGAAUCAGCAUCGGCUAACUCCAUG
rnacentral:rRNA from 1 species